UGAUUUGUGCGUGUAAGAUUUUAUCAAUUGUGUGAAAAUUUUGUAAAAUAGUUUCACCGCAUAAUACUAUUAUUUUUUAAUUUAUAAGAAAGAUAAAUAAGCAAAUAAAGCAGUAAGGAAGCAUAAAGCAUAUUAUUAGCUAAAAAAACAUGAUAUAAGCAUGGCAAACAUAAUAUUUUAAUAACCAGUGAAAUCGAAGGUGAACAACAACAACAAAGCGGAACGCCAACCCUCCAAAAUUGUAUUUUCGCGCAUUUGCCGCCGAUUUUACCGCGUGAAAAGUUGGCUGCAAACGAAUUAGGCUGAAAUAAAUCUAAAUUGAAAGCGUUCGUUUAAAAGAGACUACCAAGGAGAUUUGCAACUAACGCGGUUGAAUAUAAUCUCUUUGACGCGAUGAUGCCCACCAACGCAGGACUACAUUCAGAAGAUCACAUAUAUUGCCAACGUCAAAACAGGAAUAUGACUUUAGAAGUACGACAAAAUCAUCGUGAACCUCUGCAAGCGCAGCAACAUUUUGCUCAGCAAAUUCAGCAUACUUUGUCACCUCGACAACCACAAUUACCCCAACAGCAACAACAAAGUUGUAGUGUAUCAAACAGACUAGAAGAAGUAACGCAAAAGUUGCAACAGAACUCUUCACAGCAGCAUCAAAGGGCGACAGUUUCCGCUACCGUUUUUACUUCGCACGAUUUGGCUGUGGAGAGUGUGAUGCCAGGCAUAUAUUUAACAAAGAAUUUUAUCGCCUGGAAUGAGGAAAAUUUACGUUCACAUGGCUUCACACAUAUCAUAAUAAUUGACAAGCACAUACAGGAAUUGUAUUAUCCUUCACCAAUAUUUAAAUUAUCCACUGAAAAUACCACUGUUGAUGCAUUUGAUACAUAUGAAUACUUUAGUCAUCCAGCCACUGCGUCACUCAAAUUUGGUAAAGAAUUUGAAGCGAUUGAUUUGAAUUUUGGCGAAAAAUCCUACUUGACCACUGUGUUGCCGAAUUGUUAUCGCGCUGUUAAAUUUAUAAAUAAAGCCUUACUAGCGGGUGGCACAAUCUUGGUAAUCGAUUGUAAUGGCAGUGAACAAAAGUGUGUGACGAUAGUUGUGGCAUAUCUGAUGUACAAGCAUAAUAUAAAUUUUAGCAAGGCAUUUUCGCGCCUAAAAGAGCACUAUGAAAAGGCUGAUCUGGAUCGCUUCUAUAUGACACAACUGUACGAAUAUGAACCAAUAUUACAGGUGCAGCGUGCACAAUCACGCGGCCAGAGUUGUUCACGUGAAAUGUACUCGGCCAUACUGAAACGUAAGAAGGGAGAUGAUGAGGAAACGAGCGUGUAUGAUGGUAGCAUGUCAUUUUACGCUAGCAAUACUACACAAGACUUUUUCAAUUCAUUCAAUCCGUUAACAAAUUUUAAUGCGACAACAACAACAAUUGCGGAAAGGAAUUUGAAAACAGUAAACGCAUUUAUUCAACAAAGACACCACUAUGAAACAUCGGUGCAACAUGAAAUCAAUGCUGCUUCGUCAUCAGCAAAUUACAGUACCGAUGAUUAUGCUAUGGAGUAAAUGAACUGAGUUUUUUUUCGCAUGUCGGCAACCGGUUAAGCUCCUAGACACAGUAGUUGCAGUAUCGAUUAAACAUAAACAGAAGUACAUACAUGAUUUACGAGGAAUGCACGCGAUUGCAGCUAAACGGCUACUGAUAUCUUAGCGCCAGAUUCAAUUGUCAAAUAGUUUGAAGAAUAGCAUUGCAUUGACAGUUCUUGUACGGCUAUAAAUCCGAGUCCCGAAAAGCAACUGGUCACCAGUCCAGAGCAGUAUGGAAGCUCAACUGGUAGUAGUUUCGGCUACCAGAUCGGAGUCGGAGCGCUUAGAGUUCGCUCCAACCUGCACAUGCAUACUGGCCCAUCGAGGAGUAUCGUGAUGGUUCUGAUUAAAAUCCAAGUGCGGGAGAUUUGACAUUUUGUCAGUUGAAUAUGGAGUUGCAUUGCAAUCGCUUGCCGGACCCAAAGUACAGCGGACGUUUUAGAUAGGUCUCGAACCCUACCAAGUUGGUUAGUGCGUCCAUUACCCACGUUAAACCCACCAUACCGUACUUCACCGACUUCGUUUUCGCUGUUUGGCGCCAAUAGGAGAUUCCAAGUAUAGUCAGGUCCACCUGGUUUCUCUUCCGCUGCUUCCAUCGAGGGGUAUUGAAGUGUUUCCAUCCAUUCUGAAGACAUGACCUAGCCAGCGUAGCCGUGGUAUUCAAUGUCGUGGUAUAUCUCAUACAGCAGUCGUCGGAACGAACAGUCGAUUUCUAAAAGCUUAGAGGGCAGACAACUGAUAUAAAUCGCAAAAACUAACAAAUCAAAUAAAAUAAUGUCAGCCUUCGAUAUGUCUAAACUUAAAGACUAACACAGCUGAUAAAAAUAUCAAAAUAUGGACUUUAUUGGAUCUGCCAACACUUAGCGUGUGGAGAAUCGAAUAAACAAUAUAUAUAAAUCAUAAAUAUUUUUAUAAUCAAAUAGUGGGACUGCACCACUUUAGCCUCUACCCAAGGUACUAUGUAAAUUGAUGGAUGAAGAUCUUUGGUUCUAUUUAAAUCUAAUUUCGUUUGGAUUAAGUCCGAGAAUGAAUUCUUUUCAUCAACGAAUAUAGUUUCAGCAAGAUUUUAAGUCAAAACUGAAAUAUUGGGGAGGCAGCAUUAAGGUACUUCUUUUGCACCUGCUGAACUCAAGUUUGCUUCGUAUCAAAGAGUCUUUAAGAGCCAGUGAGUCCGUCACUAUAUUCAAAAAAAAAAAAAAAAAAAAAAGCUCUGCCAAUGUCAUUCCUACUCACAGAAUAAUGAUAAUUCCGGCAGCAGUGUGCCAAUAUUGCUCUACUCUGCAAGCUAUUCUGACGACCUCACCCUUUUGCUGGGAGGAACAGUUGUGUAUAACUUGCCGUAAUGUUUCCUAUUCUAAAAGAAGUAUUGUAGCUAUUCAAUAUCAUCGCCAACAGUAAGAAUAACUAGCUAAAAUGAUACUCACCGAUUGAUGUUAUAUAUGUACCUACAUACAUACAUAAAUAUGUAUUUAUUAUUAGAUUUCAGUGGAUCGUAUAUUCGAUAGUCGCCCGCAAACCAAUACCAAAUAAAUACAU
rnacentral:misc_RNA from 1 species